rnacentral:lncRNA from 1 species
ACAGCUAAAAAUACAGCAUGGGCCAGUGUGUGCAGUGACGUGGAUGCCAGGAGCAGGGAGGGGAUCAGGACACCGAGGGGCUCCGGGCUCCAGGAGACAUGGAUGUGGCCAAAGAGCAAGGAGGAUAUCUUGGAAGUCAGACAACUGCAGUCAGCCAUUCACCAACUUGCAUUAGGGAGACGCUGGUGGCUUCAAGGCUUUGUGGCAUGCCCUAGGGACCUGCCCACUCUAGGGCCCCAACCCAGGACGGAGCGAAAGCGGAGCCCCUGCCUGACGCGACGGUUGGCAGAAUUCAAGGAAAUCAUCUCUACGAAAUGCCUAGCACAAGGUCAGGCAUGCACCAAAUGUUCCAUACAUGUUCGUCUCCUUCUCCUUGCCUCCCAGGCAAGGAACAGCUCAUUUACCCGGGUACUGUUUGGUGAUUAAGUGCAUUGACUCUGGAGCCAGACUGUUUGGUUCAAAGCCCAAUUCUGCCACUUAUGAGCCAUGUGACCUUGGGCAAAUCACUUGCCCUCUCUGUGCCUGUUUUCCUGUUUGUGAAAUAAAUGAAGAUUAUGAUAAUCAUACCCAC